rfam:Halobiforma lacisalsi AJ5 contig_28, whole genome shotgun sequence.
GUGGGAAGCGCACGGCCGCAAAUCCGACUCGUCACCCGUCGCUCUUGGGUGGCUUGGGAUUGCGGAAGUGC